GAUGAACGCUGGCGGCGUGCCUAAUACAUGCAAGUCGAGCGGACAGACGAGGAGCUUGCUCCUCUGACGUUAGCGGCGGACGGGUGAGUAACACGUGGAUAACCUACCUAUAAGACUGGGAUAACUUCGGGAAACCGGAGCUAAUACCGGAUAAUAUAUUGAACCGCAUGGUUCAAUAGUGAAAGACGGUUUUGCUGUCACUUAUAGAUGGAUCCGUGCCGCAUUAGCUAGUUGGUAAGGUAACGGCUUACCAAGGCAACGAUGCGUAGCCGACCUGAGAGGGUGAUCGGCCACACUGGAACUGAGACACGGUCCAGACUCCUACGGGAGGCAGCAGUAGGGAAUCUUCCGCAAUGGGCGAAAGCCUGACGGAGCAACGCCGCGUGAGUGAUGAAGGUCUUCGGAUCGUAAAACUCUGUUAUUAGGGAAGAACAAAUGUGUAAGUAACUAUGCACGUCUUGACGGUACCUAAUCAGAAAGCCACGGCUAACUACGUG
rnacentral:rRNA from 1 species